rnacentral:rRNA from 1 species
GCUUAGGUUUCUCGUCUUAGGAUCAUCUGGGGUCAUUCGUACUCGUCCGCGAGAGGUGAAAUUCUUGGACCGGACGAAGACGAUCAGCAGCGAAAGCAUCUGUCAGGGAUGUUUUCUGCGACAAAGGACGAAGGUCAGGGUAUCGAGGACGAUUAGAUACCGUCGUAGUCCUGACUGUAAACUAUGCCGACUUGGGUCUUGCAGAGUAAAUACUUUGUGAGACCCACACAGAAAUGAAAGUGUAUGAGUUCUGGGGGUAGUAUGGACACAAGUCUGAAACUUGAAGGAAUUGACGGAAGAGCACCAUAAGACGUGGAGCUUGCGGCUUAAUUUGACUCAACGCGGGAAAACUUACCAGGUCAAGACAUGGGCGUGAUUGACAGGCUAAUGACCUUUCUCGAUUCCUUGGAUGGUGGUGCAUGGUCGCACUUAGUUGGUGCAGUGAUUUGUCAGGUUUAUUCCGGUAACGAACGAGACCUCGGCCUUGUAACUAGUUUUACUGCUUACAGGGACAAUGUCGGCUACGUCAAGGAAGUUCGAGGCAAUUGCAGAUCUGGAAUGCCCUUAGAUGUCCUGGGUCGCACGCGUGCUACAAUGACGCCACGAGCGAGUUCAUGGCGUUGAAAGACAUGUGAAAUCAGC